UACGGAGGGGGCUAGCGUUGUUCGGAAUUACUGGGCGUAAAGCGCGCGUAGGCGGAUUUGCAAGUCGGGGGUGAAAUCCCGAGGCUCAACCUCGGAACUGCCUUCGAUACUGCGGGUCUCGAGUCCGGGAGAGGUGAGUGGAAUUCCUAGUGUAGAGGUGAAAUUCGUAGAUAUUAGGAAGAACACCAGUGGCGAAGGCGGCUCACUGGCCCGGUACUGACGCUGAGGCGCGAAAGCGUGGGGAGCAAACAGG
rnacentral:rRNA from 1 species